CCUACGGGAGGCUGCAGUGGGGAAUAUUGCACAAUGGGGGAAACCCUGAUGCAGCAACGCCGCGUGAGCGAUGAAGGCCUUCGGGUCGUAAAGCUCUGUCCUAAGGGAAGAAUACUGACGGUACCUUAGGAGGAAGCCCCGGCCAACUACGUGCCAGCAGCCGCGGUAAUACGUAGGGGGCUAGCGUUAUCCGGAAUUACUGGGCGUAAAGGGUGCGUAGGCGGCCCUUCAAGUCAGAGGUGAAAGGCUACGGCUCAACCGGAGUAAGCCUUUGAAACUGUAGGGCUUGAGUGAAGGUGAGGAGAGUGGAAGCCGCAGUGGAGCGGUGAUAUGCGUAGGUAUUGGGAGGGACACCAGUUGCGAAGGCGGUUCUCUGGACUGUAACUGACGCUGAGGCACUAAUGCGUUGGGUGCGAACAGGAUUAGGUACGCCAGUAUUC
rnacentral:rRNA from 1 species